rnacentral:rRNA from 1 species
CCGAUGAUGUUCCGGUACAGCAUUGUAAUGGAACCAAAAGCCGUAAGGCGCCUUAGGAUGAACCUGCGUCCCAUUAGGUAGUUGGUGAGGUAACGGCCCACCAAGCCGACGAUGGGUAGCUGGUCUGAGAGGACGAUCAGCCACACUGGAACUGAGACACGGUCCAGACUCCUACGGGAGGCAGCAGUGAGGAAUAUUGCGCAAUGCCCGAAAGGGUGACGCAGCGACGCCGCGUGGAGGAUGAAGGCCCUACGGGUCGUAAACUCCUUUUGUGAGGGAAUAAUUUCUCGCUAUAGGCGAGAUUGAAUGUACCUCAGGAAAAAGCAUCGGCUAACUACGUGCCAGCAGCCGCGGUAAUACGUAGGAUGCUAGCGUUGUCCGGAUUUACUGGGUGUAAAGGGAGCGCAGGCGGGUUGGUAAGUUGGUGGUGAAAUUCUUCGGGCUUAACCCGAGUACUGGCAUCGAUACUGCUAAUCUUUGAGUGCAGA